UGAAUCCUUUGCAGACGACUUAAAUACGCGACGGGGCAUUGUAAGUGGCAGAGUGGCCUUGCUGCCACGAUUCACUGAGAUCCAGCCCCAUGUCGCACGGAUUC
rnacentral:ncRNA from 1 species